AUGAACAGCAAGCUUACGGCGAGAGUCACAUAUGAGGAGGAUGAAGCCGCGCUCUUUCAAAUGGGUCCAACGAAGGCCCCGGGACCGGAUGGGUUACCCGCGCUAUUCUAUCAGCGGCACUAGCCGCUGGUGAAAGGAGAUGUGUGUCAUGUGGUCCAAGAUUUCCUUGGGGGUGUCGCAGCCCCGGAGUCCUUCAACGCGACCAUGAUAGUAAUGAUACCGAAAGUUAACUCACCGGAGUUACUUUCUCAGUUUCGUCCCAUUAGCUUGUGCAACGUACUUUAUAAGCUUGCUGCAAAAGUGCUAGCAAAUAGGCUUAAGGUCUUCCUUCUGGUUCUCAUCUCAGAGGAACAGAGCGCUUUUGUACCGGGAAGGAUUAUCACGGACAAUGUGAUCGUAGCAUAUGAGUGUGUGCACGCAAUAAGAACCCGGAAAUGGAAAAAACCUUUGUGUGCAGUAAAGUUGGACAUGACAAAGGCCUAUGAUCGGGUCGAAUGGAUGUUUCUUGAACAAAUGAUGGCCAAGUAUGGUUUUGCGGAAGGAUGGAUUCAGAUGGUGAUGAGAUGUGUGACAUCCGCACGGUUUACUGUGAAGAUUAAUGGAGGGCUCUCUAGGGGUUUUCUGCCAUCAAGGGGGCUCGGACAGGGGGAUCCACUCUCCCCGUACUUAUUUCUUUUUUGUGUCGAAGGUUUCUCAGCGAUGUUGAGGAGGGCACAAACAGAGGGCAGUAUUAAAGGGGUCGGAUUUGGGAGCACUGGCCCCCAAGUCACGCACCUAUUAUUUGCAUAUGAUAGUAUUGUAUUCUUGCAGGGCACUCCGGAGAAUGUUCAUGUGCUGAAGAACAUCUUGGCUAGGUACGAGGCGUCGUCCGGACAAAAAAUCAAUCUCCAAAAGUCAUCCAUCUUCUUCGGGAAAGGAUGUGGACAGCCACAAAAAGAUGCUCUUAAGCAAGCGAUAGGUAUUGAACAAGAGGCUCUGAGCGAGAGAUAUUUAGGUCUACCUACGGUGGUGGGGAGAUCCAAGGAUGGCACGUUCAAGUAUGUGACAGAAUGCUCUAAGGGAAAAGUAACAGGAUGGAAGGGACAUGGGAUGUCAAAGAAGGCCAGGGAAGUGCUUGUUAAAUCUAUUUUGCAGGCUACACCUACUCUCACUAUGAUGUUUUCACCUCUUGAAGAAGAUGUGCCGGAACCUGACUUCAAUUUCUUCAAAAUUCUGGUGGGGUGCAAUGAAUGGUGA
rnacentral:rRNA from 1 species